UUGUAAGAACGAAUUCGCCCUUAGAGUUUGAUCCUGGCUCUGGAUGAACGCUGGCGGCGUGCUUAACACAUGCAAGUCGAACGGGAAACCUUUUAUUGAAGCUUCGGCAGAUUUAGCUGGUUUCUAGUGGCGGACGGGUGAGUAACGCGUGGGGGGGCGGCCGUAUACAGGGGGAUAACAGUCAGAAAUGGCUGCUAAUACCGCAUAAGCGCACAGAGCUGCAUGGCUCAGUGUGAAAAACUCCGGUGGUAUAAGAUGGACCCGCGUUGGAUUAGCUUGUUGGUGGGGCAACGGCCCACCAAGGCGACGAUCCAUAGCCGGCCUGAGAGGGUGAACGGCCACAUUGGGACUGAGACACGGCCCAGACUCCUACGGGAGGCAGCAGUGGGGAAUAUUGCACAAUGGGGGAAACCCUGAUGCAGCGACGCCGCGUGAAGGAAGAAGUAUCUCGGUAUGUAAACUUCUAUCAGCAGGGAAGAUAGUGACGGUACCUGACUAAGAAGCCCCGGCUAACUACGUGCCAGCAGCCGCGGUAAUACGUAGGGGGCAAGCGUUAUCCGGAUUUACUGGGUGUAAAGGGAGCGUAGACGGUGUGGCAAGUCUGAUGUGAAAGGCAUGGGCUCAACCUGUGGACUGCAUUGGAAACUGUCAUACUUGAGUGCCGGAGGGGUAAGCGGAAUUCCUAGUGUAGCGGUGAAAUGCGUAGAUAUUAGGAGGAACACCAGUGGCGAAGGCGGCUUACUGGACGGUAACUGACGUUGAGGCUCGAAAGCGUGGGGAGCAAACAGGAUUAGAUACCCUGGAAGACCACGCCGUAAACGAUGAAUACUAGGUGUCGGGGAGCAUGGCUCUUCGGGGCCGUCGCAAACGCAGGAAGUAUUCCACCAGGGGAGUACGAUCGCAAGAAUGAAACUCAAAGGAAUCGACGGGGACCCGCACAAGCGGUGGAGCAAGUGGUUUAAUUCGAAGCAACGCGAAGAACCUUACCAAGGGUGGACAACCUCCUGACCGGUC
rnacentral:rRNA from 1 species